GCUUAAUAAACGUUUGUUGGAUUGAAUUACCCAAAGCAGAGUUACUUUUCGGAAAUGGGAAUAGGGGCUCGUGGCCCUUGGCGGACUCCGUCCCAGGCUCCGGGAUCGGAGCUCCGACGGUAACGGCGGCGGCGGCGGCUGAGACUCGGCGUUCUUGCGCCCCUCGCCUAGCGGCCGCAGCGGCCCAGUCACCUGCCCGGCCCGGGGCAAGGACUCGCGGAAGCGGAAGAGGGGUGCGGGCGCGGCCAGGGCGGUGGCGGCGGCUGCAGAAGGAGGAGGGAGACUGCGGGAGAGCCUUUGGCUGCCGCAAGAACUACGGAAGAGGCGGCUGA
rnacentral:lncRNA from 1 species